AUUGAACGCUGGCGGCAGGCUUAACACAUGCAAGUCGAGCGGGGGAAGGUAGCUUGCUACCGGACCUAGCGGCGGACGGGUGAGUAAUGCUUAGGAAUCUGCCUAUUAGUGGGGGACAACAUCUCGAAAGGGAUGCUAAUACCGCAUACGUCCUACGGGAGAAAGCAGGGGAUCUUCGGACCUUGCGCUAAUAGAUGAGCCUAAGUCGGAUUAGCUAGUUGGUGGGGUAAAGGCCUACCAAGGCGACGAUCAGUAGCGGGUCUGAGAGGAUGGUCCGCAACACUGGGACUGGGCCACGGCCCGGACGCCUACGGGAGGCAGCAGUGGGGAAUAUUGGACAAUGGGGGGAACCCUGAUCCAGCAAUGCCGCGUGUGUGAAGAAGGCCUUAUGGUUGUAAAGCACUUUAAGCGAGGAGGAGGCUACUUUAGUUAAUACCUAGAGAUAGUGGACAUUACUCGCAGAAUAAGCACCGGCUAACUCUGUGCCAGCCGCCGCCGUAA
rnacentral:rRNA from 1 species